AAUAAUUAAUGAUUUGAAAAAGGUAAAUUCUUAGCAUGAGGAUAGACAAAUAUUGUUGAGAGAAUUUUCACUCAAUGCGGAGAGAGAAAGGCAAAGUGAAAGGAUAGAGAAAGGGAAAACUUUGCAUUUUAAGGUUUCACUUUGUUAUUUUCUUCCCCAUUGUUUCUGCUUUUUGGUUUUGGAUGGUGUUUGUUCCUUUUCUUUGUUUUAGGCCAGGGAGAGAAGGGUUUUUUUUUUUUUUGAAGUCACCAUCCUUUCUGGAUCUCACUUGUUGUGGAUGGACGAGUUAAUUAGUUCUUGUUUUAAUUUGUUUGUUGUUUGUUUGUACAGAUCCCCAGCGUUGGCAUCAGCGAGGGAAAUGUUGAUGAAAGGACAUGUUUUUUAAAGUUUCAGAUCUAUUUUCUAGUGGAGAAGAUUGCUCUGUGUAUGAUGUCAUGAUCCGAAACCGCACCAAAUCCUAUUUGGUUCAUAGUCAUCGCGUUGCUUCAAUUUUAUGAAAGACUUUUAGGUGAUCGAACUGCUCUUAAUGGAUUGCGGCCAAUGAUUUAAUUGAACUUUAGGAUGGAUUUGGAAACAAGUAAACAUUUUUUCUCACACUCUUAUUUUGAUAGUCAAUUUAUAUACUAGUGUUAUAUUUUCAUUUGACUCUUCAAACUCACUUUGUAAUGUGAUUAAUUUUAAUAUUUUUCGAGAUUUUUUUUUCACUUAAAUACACCAAGCAUUAGUUAAUAUAAAAUCACUUUUUUCAAAAAUAUUUUUUAUGAAAUAAAUAAAGUCUUAGUCAAAGAUACUUCACACCAAUAUAAGGAAUUUGCAGGGAAAAAAUUAAUGUUAAUAAAGUAAUCCUGGAAUUAAUAACGUAAGUAUAUAUCAGCAAGUUUAAUAUUUUAUUUAAAAUAUAUAACUAUAUUUUAAUAAAAUAAAUUUAUUUUGUUAACGGUAAACAAAUUAAAAACUCUCCAACUAAUAACUCAAAUAACCUGAUCUAGGUAAACUCUUAUAUCAAAAUUUCAACUUUUUAAUGGAAUUUUCGUUAGAAUUUGGAAUCUCAAAAUCGAACAUUGAAUUCGGAAUCUCAAAAUCAAAAACAUUAGAAGGGUAAAAUGAUUUUUUUAAAAAAUAAAUUUUAGGUAUUUUAAAAUAUAUUUUUUAAAAAAAAUAUUUUAGAAAAGUUUUAAAAGGGCUCCGACCCAAAAAGGAGAGAAAUAUUUCUCAAUUUUCGGGCCAAGGUAAGUCCAAGCAGUAUCUUCCUCAAUAGUUUUGAGUUAUUUCUUAUUUUUCUCUUCAAAGAAUUUACGAUUCUUCUCUCGGUUUUAAAGAUCAAGAUUUUGGAUUAAGAGUUUAAAGUAAAAAAUAUUCAAAUAUUUUUCUUGUUUCUAAAAUCCUUGCUACGAUUGUUGUUUUGUCUCAAUGAGAUAAGUAAAUCCUUAUAUCUAUUUGAUCCUGAAAUUUUUAUGAAGAAAAUAUAAGUUGUAUUUAUUUCAAUGGUUAGACAAUGCAUGCAAAACUUUGGGGUAAGUUUUUAGGUUUGAAAUAGUGGAUGAUUUCAUGUUUUAAUGAUACAUAUUGAAGUUUAAGUUAGUUCUAAGUAAUUCUUUGUAUUUUUAGUUGUAAAUAUAUAAUUUUCAGCUGUUACAUGCGUGUUUGGUUGCAUUUUUUUGGAUUGUUGGCUGAGGCAGAAUCAAAUUCUACAUUGCAAAAGAAUCCAGAUUCGGUUGCCAAAGUCAGGUUCAGACGCCGAACCUGCCUAUGAAGACUAUCCUCCAGAUCGCCUGAUCUCGAGCAUGUUAUGUUAUGUUAUGUAUGAUGGAUAUGGAGGUCUAGGUCGAUGCUCAUUCUAUAUCUCUGAUAUUAUGUAAGAGAAAGAUCAGAAUGUCCACUCUACACGCCUAACACUAUGGAUAUAUUAUGUUAUGUUUAAGAGGAAAUUCUGAGGAGCACCCAUUGUGAGCUGUGCACUAUUGAAAUUAUGAAGGGUUAUUGAUGACACAUUCAUAUGAUUAUAUGUUUUAUUAAACAAUUUUUUUUUAUUAUGUUUCUACUCACUAGACUCUAAUAGUUUAUCUCUUUUUCGUAAUCUCAGGUUUGUAAGAUGAGAGUUAGCUCAAGAGGUCAGCA
rnacentral:lncRNA from 1 species